AUAAAUAUAUAUGUGUAUGUAUGUAUAUAUAUAUAUACAUAUAUAUACAUAUAUAUAUAUAUAUAUAUAUACAUAUACAUACAUAUAUAUAUACAUAUAUAUAUAUA
rnacentral:miRNA from 1 species